GCCUCUGUAGCUCAGUUGGUUAGAGCUGCACCGGAAUCGCUGGACCGUAGGUUCAAUUCCUACCAGAGGAC
rnacentral:tRNA from 1 species